GCGUGCAGGAAGAAGGCCUUCGGGUUGUAAACUGCUUUUGUCAGGGAAGAAAAGCUUCGGGCUAAUACCUUGAAGCCAUGACGGUACCUGAAGAAUAAGCACCGGCUAACUACGUGCCAGCAGCCGCGGUAAUACGUAGGGUGCAAGCGUUAAUCGGAAUUACUGGGCGUAAAGCGUGCGCAGGCGGCUGUGCAAGACAGAUGUGAAAUCCCCGGGCUCAACCUGGGAACUGCAUUUGUGACUGCACAGCUCGAGUACGGCAGAGGGGGAUGGAAUUCCGCGUGUAGCAGUGAAAUGCGU
rnacentral:rRNA from 1 species